rnacentral:rRNA from 1 species
CCCUUAGACGCUCUAGGCGGCACGCGCGCUACAAUGGGUGGUAGAACGUGUAACUGCUCCCGAAAGGGAGGGUGAACCACGAAUACUUACCCGUGAAUGGGAUAGUUUGUUGCAAUUUUCGGACUUGAACUAGGAGUCCCUUGUAAGAAUGCUCAAGAAUAGCGUGCUGAAUACGUCCCUGCCGUUUGUACACACCGCCCGUCGUUUCUUCCGACUGAUACUCAUUGUGAGUUGCAAGGAUUCUUAUUGAAAAAUUGCUGCGAAUGCUUUGUAUUGGAGGAAGAAAAAGUCGUAACA